rnacentral:rRNA from 1 species
AUGCUGGCCUGCUUCGCGCUGAACUCCUCCUGCAUGCAUGCGCAUCGACCGAUCGAGCUCCGGAUCAAUGGCGGUUCAGCACGUCUUGCAAACCAGAGUACCAGACCAGAGGAGGGAGAAGAAGACCUGGGCCUGGAGGAUCGACUCCGAGUUGCGCAUGAGGAGGUCGUGGGCGCGCCGGAGCUGCUCCUGCCGGGACAGCAGCUCCUCCUGCUGCUGCCGCCCGAACCGCGCCAGCCUCUGCAUCGCCUCCCUGCUCUCCUCCAGCGCCCGGCUCAGGAAGCCGUGGAGCUCCCCGAGCGCCCGCGUCGCGUUCGCCUGCCCCUCCAGCAGCUCCCGCUGGUUCUCCAGCGACUGCCCGGCGGCGGUCCCGAUCUCCUCCGCGGUGCGCUGCAGGCCCUCCAUCCGCGCCGCCAUGGCGUCGCCGACGGCCCUGACCUCCCGCUCGAUCCCCGCCGCCUCCUCCUUCAGCCUCACCAUCUCCUCGCCCAGCCGCGCGUACUCCUCCUCCACCCGCGCCAUGCCGGCGUCGAUCCGGCCCCGCAUCUCCUCCUGCCCUUCCCUCAGCCCCGCCUGCGCCGCCGCGAUCUGCCUCGACUGCUCGGCUAUGGCCGCCGACUGCGCCAGCACGUCGCCGAUCCGGGAUUUGAGGUUGUCGGACGCGGCGGCCAGGUUCUCGGUCUGCGACACGAUCGACGACAUGGAGCCCUGGAGCUUGCUCGACUCCUGCAUGAUCUGGUCCGACCUCUCCUCGAUCGCCGACAGCUUCUCGCUCGCCGCCGCUGCCGCCCGGGUCAGGUCGUUCACCAGCCGCUCCGUGCUCUGCUUGAACGCUUCCGCCCUGCGCACGAUUCACAAAUCAAUCAAGAAGAAGAGGAAGAAGACGAUCAUGGCGGAUUGGAUAUGAUUGCGUACUGGAGCUGGUGGCAGAGGGUGUUGGUCUCGAGGAAGAACUCGAGGAAGACCUUCUCCUCGUGCUCGGAGAGGCGCUUGCGGCAGUGCACCAUGCGCGAGCGGUCGUCGCAGGGCGGCAGCGGCGGGCGGCCGGAGUCCUGCUGGUAG